UCUUCCGCAAUGGGCGAAAGUCUGACGGAGCAACGCCGCGUGAGUGAUGAAGGCUUUCGGGUCGUAAAACUCUGUUGGUAGGGAAGAACAAGUGCAAUUUGAAUAAGCUAGCACCUUGACGGUACCUAACCAGAAAGCCACGGCUAAUUACGUGCCAGCAGCCGCGGUAAUACGUAGGUGGCAAGCGUUAUCCGGAAUUAUUGGGCGUAAAGCGAGCGCAGGUGGUUUCUUAAGUCUGAUGUGAAAGCCCACGGCUCAACCGUGGAGGGUCAUUGGAAACUGGGAGACUUGAGUGCAGAAGAGGAAAGUGGAAUUCCAUGUGUAGCGGUGAAAUGCGUAGAGAUAUGGAGGAACGCCAGUGGCGAAGGCGACUUUCUGGUCUGUAACUGACACUGAGGCGCGAAAGCGUGGGGAGCAAACAGG
rnacentral:rRNA from 1 species